rnacentral:rRNA from 1 species
AGUGAACGCUGGCGGUAGGCCUAACACAUGCAAGUCGAACGGCAGCACAAUAAGAGCUUGCUCUUACGGGUGGCGAGUGGCGGACGGGUGAGGAAUACAUCGGAAUCUACUUUUUCGUGGGGGCUAACGUAGGGAAACUUACGCUAAUACCGCAUACGACCUACGGGUGAAAGCAGGGGAUCUUCGGACCUUGCGCGAUUGAAUGAGCCGAUGUCGGAUUAGCUAGUUGGCGGGGUAAAGGCCCACCAAGGCGACGAUCCGUAGCUGGUCUGAGAGGAUGAUCAGCCACACUGGAACUGAGACACGGUCCAGACUCCUACGGGAGGCAGCAGUGGGGAAUAUUGGACAAUGGGCGCAAGCCUGAUCCAGCCAUACCGUGUGGGUGAAGAAGGCCUUCGGGUUGUAAAGCCCUUUUGUUGGGAAAGAAAAGCAGCAGGUUAAUACCCCGCUGUUCUGACGGUACCCAAAGAAUAAGCACCGGCUAACUUCGUG